rnacentral:rRNA from 1 species
CAAUAGCGUAUAUUAAAGUUGUUGCAGUUAAAAAGCUCGUAGUUGGAUUUGUGGCGUACGGUGGGUUCCGGGCACUUGUUGUCUGAGUAACUUGCUGUUGCCAUCCUUGGGUGGAACCUGUGUGGCAUUAGGUUGUCGUGCAGGGGAUGCCCAUCAUUUACUGUGAAAAAAUUAGAGUGUUCAAAGCAGGCUUAUGCCGUUGAAUAUAUUAGCAUGGAAUAAUGAGAUAGGACUUUUUUGCUAUUUUGUUGGUUUGCGCAAAGAGGUAAUGAUUAAUAGGGACAGUUGGGGGUAUUCGUAUUCCAUUGUCAGAGGUGAAAUUCUUGGAUUUUUGGAAGACGAACUACUGCGAAAGCGUUUACCAAGGAUGUUUUCAUUAA